AAUAAGUUUAUUUUUCGUUUUUUCGUGUUCAACGUUCAAUCAUUCGUCUUAUUUAAAAAAUUUAUAAAAAACUUAAAAAAAUUAGUCACGUAUAAAAUAUUAUUUAUAUUUUAUUAUCUAGUAGCAAUAAAAAUAUUAAUCACAAAAAAUUUUCAAAUAAGACGAAUGAUCAAAUAUUGGACAUGGAAAA
rfam:Oryza brachyantha chromosome 8, whole genome shotgun sequence.